UGGGGAAUAUUGGGCAAUGGGCGCAAGCCUGACCCAGCGAUGCCGCGUGAAUGAUGAAGGCCUUAGGGUUGUAAAAUUCUUUUAGUGGGGAAGAUAAUGACGGUACCCACAGAAAAAGCACCGGCUAACUUCGUGCCAGCAGCCGCGGUAAUACGAAGGGUGCUAGCGUUGUUCGGAUUUACUGGGCGUAAAAUGCGUGCAGGUGGUUUGAUUAGUUGAAAGUGAAAUCCCAGGGCUUAACCUUGGAACUGCUUUCAAAACUGUCAAGCUAGAGUACGGUAGAGGAUGAUGGAAUUUCUAGUGUAGAGGUGAAAUUCUUAGAUAUUAGAAGGAACACCGAUGGCGAAGGCAGUCAUCUGGGCCGAUACUGACACUAAUACGCGAAAGCGUGGGGAGCAAA
rnacentral:rRNA from 1 species